rnacentral:rRNA from 1 species
UACAGAGGGGGCAAGCGUUGUUCGGAAUUACUGGGCGUAAAGGGCGCGUAGGCGGCCACCGCAAGUCGACUGUGAAAUCUCCGGGCUUAACUCGGAAAGGUCAGCCGAUACUGCGGGGCUAGAGUGCAGAAGGGGCAACUGGAAUUCUCGGUGUAGCGGUGAAAUGCGUAGAUAUCGAGAGGAACACCUGCGGCGAAGGCGGGUUGCUGGACCAACACUGACACUGAGGAGCGAAAGCCAGGGGAGCGAACGGG